AGUGAAGGUAGAGGUGCGAAAACCAUCAGUAAACUAUGAGAGAAGGUUGAGCUUCAAAGAUCAUAGCUUGAAAGGGGAAUUCGCCGAAGAAGAAAUGUUUUCUCAACGACAAUCUUCUGGAUCUGUAUUGAAUAAGUACAGAACUGUCAUGCAGGAGAACUGCAUGGAGCACUAUCUCACGG
rnacentral:ncRNA from 2 species